UCCUCCUGGACACCACACCCAUUCCCUCCUGUUCUUCCUUCAUGUGGUUGGUUUUAGGGAAAACUAAACGGUCCAGACAGCAGACGACACCCCCCCCCCCAGGCAGUUGUUAUGGCAACUGCCUUAGUUUUGGUCAGUGGAACGACUCAGAACCAGACCCUGGCUCCUUGCUGUGGCCUAGCUGAGACCAAAGCCUGCCUUCUCCUUCCCCAUCACCUCUGCCUUCUCUUUGGGUGGUGGUGAAUGUCCCCAACACUUUGAGCCAGCCACAGCCUGCCUCUUUAGAGACCAAACAGGUUCCAAACUGGCUUGGCCACUGUCCCUAAAGCAAAGGCCUCACCUGGAGUGGGUGGCCAGCUGAAUACAGCCUGCUUCCUAUCCUGUCUACUCACCCUCUGUGGGCACAUGACCCACCAAGACAGGCCCACUGACUCAAGGGUGCCUUGUCCGGCUUGACCUUUGCCUUCUGCCCCUACUUUUCUGAGAUACGGUCUCAUGUCCCAGGCUGACCUCAAACAUGAUAUGUUGCUGAGGUUGGCUUUGAUCCUGCUUGGUCCUGAUGGCUCUCUACAUAGAUUCCGAACACUGAAAUUCCAGGUGCGUGUCAUUAUAGCAGGCUUUGUGCGUAUGUGCACAUGUGUGCCGAGGCCCACAUACAUUGACACUGGGUGUCUUCUUCAGAUAUUGCAGCAGCUUUCUCAUUGAUCUGAGAGCCAAUCUAGCUAAGUAGUUUGCUCCAGGGAUCCGAUCUCUGCCCCACAGUGUUGGUUUGGAAUGGCAUUCAUCCGGGGCCUAUAGAUUUGUACUCUGGGCUUCAUGCUUGAGUAGCAAGAUAUUUUACCUGCCUUCAGAUCUUUUUUUUUUUACUGUUAUUAUUAUGUAGAUGGUUCAUGGUCCAUAUAGCAGUGUUAGAGAGGUAAGAGCACUGUUGCUCUUGCAGAGAACUCAGGUUCCCUGUACCCACACAGUGACUCCCAACAACCUGUAACUCCAGUUCUAGUGGCCUGAUGCUCUCAUCUACUUCUAUGGGUGUCAGGACACACGUGUGGCACACGUGUACAUGCAGGCAAAACACAUGCAAAUAAAAUAGAUACAUAUCUUAAGGAGCAAAAGAAAGACACAGACUGGGAAGGAGGCUGCCUGCUAGCACAUGCAAGACCCAGGUUCAAUCCCUGACACCACCAAAAAGGGAUCAAACAAACCCCCCCAAAAAAACCCUGACUAGAGCUAGUGUGUGUGGGGGUGCGUGCCUGUAAUCCCGGCACUCAGGAGGCAGCCUCGGGCAGUGGGGAUCACUAGUUAAAGGCCAGCCUGGGUUCAUAAUGAGUUCCAGGCCCCUGUUUCAAACAAAUAAAAAAAUAAAUAAGGAAAGAAGUAUGAAGAGAGAGAGGGGAAGAAGGAAGGUGUAGGGGAGGGGGAGGGGCGGGGAAGGGGUUGGAGGAGGAGGAGCAGGAAGAAAUGAAGAGGUGGACAAUGAUAUUUAGAAGAGCAGUGGUUCAACUGGCCUUGCACAUCCACGUUCACAGCCCCGUGGGUCACAAGAAGCAGAUGUGGAAGAUCGGGUGAUCAGGCAGAACAGUGGGCGGGUCCACAACCUGGAAUAUAGGGCCAGGGGUGGGGCUCAGUGGCAGAUCUUGUCUGACGUGCCUGACAAGGCCCUGGGUCCCAUGGACCCACGCACGCACGCUCACAUGCACGUUCAUUAUCCAUCCUUCUAGGGAGGAGAAAAUUCAGGCUGUGAGGAUGUUGUUCUUAAGGUAGUGAGUUUGUGUUCACAGAGGGAGGCGGAUAAAGUCAGGCUCACCAGCUGAUAGGAGCGAUAGACCCACAUCUCUCCCGUACCCAUUCCCAGUCCCCUGAGAACUGCCUUUCCCACCAAGGCCAUCCCGGACCAACAAUUACUCUUGAACCUUAAGCGUUGGGAAACCACACUAAGGGAUCUUGGCCUCCAGCCAAGGGCAGAUGUAGCUAGCACUUGGCAGUGUGUUCAAAGGGAAAGUUCAUGGUGGUGGGUGUCCACUUGACCCACCACUGCCACGCUGCAUACCUGAUGGGGGUGGAGCCGUGGGUGUAGCAUGUUCCCUCUGGGUCACUUAGCUCUGAGAGCAGGCCCUUCCCUGGGAUUCACUGAGCUUUCAGAGCUCCAACAGGCCAGGGGUAGCUCUUUCUUAGUGCUUCUAUGAGCUUAGAAAAAUAGCCUCUCCCAUAACCUUCCGAGAUUGGAAAUACAAUCUAGGUUUUCUGGGUGUGGACAAUGGGCAGAAGGCCUGCACUGGGGGAGACAGCUCAUAGGCCUGGGGCCCCCAGUUUCUUAAAGCCUGACCUCUGGACCUCAGACACCCCACAGAGCAGGAUUCUGAAUGGAAUGAUGGGGAGAGUCACAUGAGUCCCCUUCUCCACCUUUGCCUCAGUAAUCUUUUCCAUACUCUCUGACGAGGCAUGAGGGCAGACCUUAGCCUUUAAAGCGCCACGGUUCAUUUAUGUGUUGAAAAGAAAGUACUUGCGUACUUGUGUCUUGGCUCCUCAGCCUGCAACCACACCAGCUGACAGUGGGUACGUGAGCCAGGGCUGCUGGAGAGGCCAUAUGGUCUGAAGGACCUUGAUGGUGACCAGGUUGGAUGCAGCCGUUGGUGCCCCAGUCCUGGCCUGAUAGCCAGUCGUCUCUUCCUCGAAGACGCAGAUGCAUUUGACCCUUUGUGUUUCCAAAGCCCAAGUUUGCAAGCCCCAGAUCACCCACACCUCCCUGUGAGGCCCUUGAGUCUUCCGGGAGCACUCACAGCCUUUACCUCAGUCCAGUUGGGUGCGCAGGGAGCCUGAGACCUUGGCUGAUUCAGCGCGCUGUCACUAACAAGAGCCGCCCUGUAGAUGGCGCUCAUCGAGACUUGCCAGUCGGCAGAGCAGCCCACCCACAGGGUUAGCACAGUGUCCUCUGUGUCCUCGUAGAUUCUGUGCCCUCCAAUACGGCUGACCACACAUCAGAAAUUCCCCGGGGGGAGAAUGUGCUCCUACCGAACACAUGUGGACAUUUUUCUUGUCACUAGCCUCUAAGUGUGAAGACUGUUUACACAGCAUUUACACUGCAGGGGGUGGUAUUGGUAAUCUAUGGGUGAUUGAAAGCACACAGGAUGGCGUGUGUGCAUUCUGGACGUCACUGUGACAUUCUGAGAGACUUGAGCAUAUGGGGAACCGAGCCCCACAGAGGGGAGACUGUUUAUAAAGCCCAUGUUCUUAGCACAGAGCACAGCAGUUGAAGGUAACUGGGCUGUGGGGAGCAUAGGGAACAGGCAGAGGCUGCUCUUCAUUUAGCAGGGCUCCCCCACAGCAGGUCGGAAUGUCAGAGCGCAGCCUGGUCUCACUUGGAGUACAUCGCUUGUGCCCCUGAUGGUGAUGGCCGAGCAGCUGACUCAGAAACCACACCCAGCCUCUCCGCCGCGUCUCUGUGUGACUAGAGCAGUCUGUGGUAGGAUGCCGCCCCUCGGGCAGCACCCGGGGGCCCACUUGUUGAGUAAUCCUAGAUCUCUGGAGAUUGAAGGGUGCUGCAGCUGACCCACUGGGGUCUUGCUGACUUUGUGAACCUAGUCGCCUCCUCCUAGUUGUCGUUUCAGGGAAACUCUUCUCUUUCAAUGGUUUCAUGGCUUCUUCUUGGCCACAGACUGAGGGUGUUGGAUCUUGAGGGAGUGGGGUCUCUCUCUCUCUCAUGCACAGAAGGGAGAGCGAGUAAGAGGGAGACUUCCAUCCACUGUUUUGAGAUCCAGCAGCCUGAUGACAUGGAUCAGUCCCUGCUGCCAACCCCCUUGGAGACAUGCCCCCCAUGGCCCCAAAGAACAGUCCCUAGGGUUAGGCCCCGACUCACAGCUCUUUAUAGCAGACACAGGAAAAUAUUUUCAGGGGACCAGAGAGGCUAUAAGUGUGGCUGGAGCCAAGGAGCCCAGCCAUCUUCUUGAGUGACUCACAGGGCCAAAUUGUUUGUGCAAUGUGUUGUUUUGGGGAGUGCAUGAAAGACUUGGCAGAUGCCUUCUUGCUGAGGGUCACAGGCUGGGGUUGGGGCUGGACAGUCACCUCCCGAGGAGUCACUGGGACAGCGUUCAAAACAAAUAAAAUUAUUCCCAAGGAUGCAUGGCUUCCUCCCUUCCCCUUUCUGUACACACACAUGCACACACUCACACACACACAUACUCAUACAAGCACAUACUCACGCACACACAUGCGCACACACAGUCACAUGUGCAAACACAUACACACAUGCAUGCACACACACAAACACACACACACACAGUCACACAUGUACACACACAUAUACACACAUAGUCACACACACAUACACACACAGUUACACAUGCACACAUACACAUAGUCAGACAUGCGCACACACAUACAUAGUCACACAUGCACACACACAUACACACAGUCACACACACAUACACACACAUGAACACACAUAUACAAAUAAUUACACAUGCACACAUACACAUAGUCACUUAUGCAUACACACAUACAUGUCCUCACACAUGCACACUCUCACACACAUGUACUCACACAUGCGCACACACACGUACACAGAGUUUCAGAGAAAACUUAACAGCAUCGGUGUAAAGAGCUGGGGAGGUGACCCUGUAAAGUGCUUGCCGCCUAAGUGUAAGGAGCUGAGUUUGGAUCCCCAGACCCACAUAAAGCAGGGAGUCUGAUGAUUCUCUGUAAUCAUAGCUCUGGGGAUAUGGAGACAGCUAGAUCCCUGGGGCCUGCUGGCCAGCCAGUCUAACUGAAUCGGCAAGUUCCAGCUUAAGUGAGAGACCCUGUCUUAAAAACAAAGCAGAAUUAUGCUGAAGGACAGCUCAGUGGUGAAGAGCACUUACUGUUCAGAGGACCUGAACCCCCAGCACCGACAUUGGGGGACUCAAAACUGCCUGUACCUCCAGCUCCCGGGGAGCUAAAACCCUCUGCUGGCCUCCAAGGGCACGUGCCGUCAUGUGCAUAUACCCAGCACAGAUACAUCGAUGCAAUUAAAAAGAAAACAAAAGUCUUUAAAUUAAAUAAAAAGGAUGAGGUGAAGAGAAAGUGAGCCAGACGCCUUACGUCAACCUCUGACUUCCAUGUGCACACACAGAGAAGCGUGCACACGUGUGCAAACACAUGUACACAUACCAUGCGCGCAAUGUUGUGUUUGAUUGAGAAGAAAGUUCCAGGUCAUUGUCCUCCAGCAUUUUUCCUGACCCUUGCUUGGGGUUGCCGGGCACUGUAGUUCUUCCAGAUUUGAGAUUCUCCUCUCCUGGUCUCCCACAGGCGUUAAGUCCUACAGCCUCGGUGCUGCCAAGCCACAGAGCCACCCCAUGUUCCUCCCCACAGAGCAAACAAAGUUGUCUGUGUAAAUCUCCAUGAAUGGCCAUCGUUCUGCACCAACCCUUGGGGCUGAGACUGUGCCCAGGAGCCUGAGCCCUGUGGGAACUCAACCUGGCCCUGGCGUGGGUUCUUUUCCCCUGGGUGCUGGCCCUAGGAAGCUCCCAGACUCCUGCUCUCAGAGCCAGGCUGUAGUCAUAGAGCUGAAAGGACAGGCCCCACCCUGACAGCCUUCACCCUCAAGAAGAGUCAGGUCCUGCUCUGGGAAAAUGCUUGCUCUUUUCUAUUUUGUAUUAAAAAGAGUCAUCCUUGGACUGGGGGUGUGGCUGAGUUGGUAGCUUUCCAACUGAGCAUUCACAAAGCUCUGGGUUUCAUCCCCCAAGCUACAGGAAACAUAGUGUAGUGUUGCACACCUGUAUUCUGGCGUUCAGGAGUAGAGGCAGGAAGAUCAGGAAGUCAAGAUAGUCCUUGGAUACGUAGUAACUUUGAAGCUAGCCUGGGCUACGUGAGAUCAGGUCUCAAACAACCAAAAGGAAACAAAACAAAGUGAUCCUUAAAGUCCUUCUCAUUUCCUGCUUCCUGUCUCUGUGUCUAGAAUGAUUCUUCCCAUUAGCUGGGGUUGGGACCUUGAUCUUUUGGCAUUACCAAAUUUGGGACCUCUUUAUGAACACACAGUGCAUCCUGGGUCACCUCAGGAGCAACCUUGGGAAGAGAGACCAGUUGGUUGGUACAAGAGCAGAGACCUCAAAGUCUAGCUCCUCCCACGCCCACCCCAGCAGCCAGGGAGCCCUGCACUAUGUUCAGGCAACUCUACCUUCCAAGUUGGUGAUGCUUGCUGAACCCUCUCUGAGAACCGAGAACAAUCCAGCAUACUGCUUUCUGAGGUGAAAGCCAUGCUUCCACCAUGGUGGCUCUGCCUUUGUCAAAGACGUCAGAGGACAUGGUGGGGGUGCAACCCGCAUGGUGGCGCUGACGAUGAGGGCUGAGGACUUUGCUCCUGUUGGGUUUCUGUCUCAGCGAUGAUCACAGACUGUCCGGCGUUGAUGGAGCAAUAUUGACUUGGCUAUGAAGACCGUUACGUCUGAUUGUCCUAGAAAUAAAAUCUGGCAACCAUGAACAAAACCCAGGUUCUUGGCUCUGAGCUAGGGGGAAUCUGGAGUAGACAGCACCUACCUUUGCCACAUCCUGCCUCCCGUGCAGGGGGACUGGGCCCUAAUUGGCAUGGCAGUGAUGUAUGCGAGGGCUAAUCAAAGCCUUUUAUCUUCUGAUUAUCUUUCCCUGUGACGGAUGGCAGGCUCCAAGCACAGUGGAAAUAGAAGCAGAACAUUUCAGAGAAGAAUCGGGCAGUUCCAAGGAGCAAGGGAUGCUGUCCUGCUGCUGCCUGGCAAAGAGUUUCACUGGGGAAAAUUAUUUUUCAUAACCUUUUUGCUUUCUUAUUUAAAUUAAGCUUUGACAAGCAAGUUUGGCAGUAGUGGAGGGCACCUAAUUUGGUCCCCCUUGACCUCAACAGCCUUGAUUGACAGUUUGUUGUCAGGCUAGAAGUUGCACGGGGAAGGUGGGAGCAGGCAGAACAAAUGCCCCCGGACAGCUUGGGGUCCCCUAGGACCCAGGCAGAGCCGGGGAGAGCAUGCAAUUAGAGAGGUCUUCACAGGAAAGUUAAUUAGCUACUAAAUAGCAUUUAGCACAGUUUACAGCGGAAACGCAUGUCUGAGGGGGGAAUGGAGGGCAAUGGGAAUGGGUUCCGCAAAGGCAGGCAACACUGGCCUGCUAGCAUCUUAGCCAGAGCGUGAUCCCGGGACAUGGGGUGGGUGUUCCCCACCUGGCACAUGAGGCAGACUGAUCUAUGCCACCAGGAACUGUCCGCAUCACUUCCUGGAACAAGGGUGGAGACAUCGACUAUGUCUUUCCUCCCUGGGAACUGUGUCUAGUAGGUGGGAUAGCACCCCUCCCAAACGCACAGCCACCCAGAACCUCUGAGUGCGACCACUCUUUAAAAUAGGAGCUUUGCUGAUAUGGUCAAAGCAACAGGAAGAUGAGGUCAUCCAGGAUGGAAGUGGACCAGAGUUUAUCCUCACAGGAUACAGACAAACACGUACACCUAUGGAGACUUGAAAAUGGGAGCACUGCCCUGUGAGCUAGGGAGCACCUGAGAGUUGUCGGUAAGCACCAGGAAGCUGAGGUGGCAGGAAGGGCCUUCAGAGGCAUCCUGAUACUUGGGCUGUGGUCUUUUGUUAGAGUGGCCCAAGGAAACACUAUGUCACUGCCACAGUGCUUUGCUUAGCAUCUGAAGCUGGAACAUUCUGAUGGUCUAGAGGAUGCCAGGGUGGGCAGCUGGUGGGGCCUAUUGGGCUACUGAGCCUGAUUUUAUUUUCUGUUGAGAAUAAAGUCACGGGGCAGGGAAGCUGCUCAGUGAGUAGAGAGCUUGCCUACCAUGUCCAUCCCCAGAAUAUAAAAAGCAAACCAGGUACAGUGGUGCAUAGAGGCAGUCCCAGUACACAGGAGGACCAGAAGUCAGCACCAGGCUACACUACAUGAUGUGACAUUGGUUGGUCUUUCUUACUGUUGUGGUUGAUGGCUUCUGUGUGCGCGUGCGCACAUGCGCUGUAUGUUAUGUAUAUAUAUUUAUGCAUUGCAUGUGCUCCCUGUGUAAACGUGUGUGGUAUGUGGAUAGAUGUGUAUGUGGUACGUAGUGUACGAGUAUACAUGUACGUAUAUUUGUGUGUGUACAGACAUGUACACACAAUUGUAUGUGAGGUCAGCGGUCCAUACCUGGCAUCUCCCUUUGCUGUCUCCUGUCUUUGUAUGCUCUGCACACUAAGAGACAAGGUCGCUCGCUGAACGUGAAGCUCAGUUGUCUGGCUAGGCAGGCUGCCAAUAUGUCUCCAUGCCUAGCCUGGGCUGGAGCUACCGUGGGCUGCCAGGUCUGGCCUUCUACCUGAGGCUCCAGACUCUGCCCCUGCUGCUCCCCCAGCAGGCGUUUUGCUGACUCAGCAUCUCCCUGUGUUUCCGUCUUAUUUUUCAAGGCAGGGUCUUCCACUGAACCUGGAGUUUACUGUCAGCCCCAGGGACCCUCCUGUGCCUUUGUGCUAGAUGGCCUGUCAUUUUACGUGGGUGGUGGGGAUCAGAAUGCAGGGUCUCCUGCUCAAGUGCCAAGUACUUUGCUGACUGAGCUAUCUCCCCAGCCCGUGUGUGCCUGUGUGUGUGUGUGUGCAAGCGCGCGUGUGCACACGUGCACACACAUGUAUGUGUGCACUGUGAUAAUUCUUACACAAGUAUUUGUUGCUCGAGGGCAUGAACAGUUCCUCUGAGGGGCUAUGCCUGGGCCCAUGGCACCUGCAUCCCACAACACCCUAACCCCAUAAAUAUGCCCAUGUUUUUUUAUAGUGACUGUACUCCUCCCCCCCACCCCACCCCCAUGCUGCUUGCCUUCUCCCUGGCUAUCUUUCUUCGUGUCUAUGGAGCAUCUCGCUGUGUGGUGUUCCACUUGGCCACGCCCCUUCUGUGGGCAUCCAGUUGCCUUCGGUUCUUUGCUUGUCUUUAAUAGCCACGUCUGUGUCGAAGCUUGCCCACAGGUAAGAUUCUUCCUCUGUUGGUUUCCAGAGACACAGGCCAGGGCAGGGCACUUCCAGCCUGAGAUGGUUGCCAGGUAACUAAGCAGUUUGAGCUCUGGAUGUGGAGAACUGCAGAUGUUCACGACGAUAUGACAGUCACACACCCACACGUGCACAGCCUGUGAGUGCAUCUAAAGCUUUGAUAGAUAGCUUCACACAGAGACACACACAAGCUCCCGUGCACACCUAGGGUCGAUCUGCCUGCCUGCCUGCCUGCCUGCCUGCCUGCCUGCCUAUCUAUCUAUCUAUCUAUCUAUCUAUCUAUCUAUCUAUCUAUCUAUCUAUCUACACACAGCCAUGACCACACACCUCAGGCAUCAUUACAUUGUCUGCUGUAAGGGUUUUAAAACAGCAUCCUGAGAUGCUGAUGGGACCCUGUCCCGGUUAUGCUGGCUGAGGCAAUCCCAUGGCAAUCCCAUGAGACGCUGUCUUACAUGUGCGUGCAUUCAAGCAUGUGUGUUAGGCUUGUGUGUCCUGCAGAGUCACGUGCUUCCUGCUGCUGGAGAUGGAUUACGAGGGUAAGGCCCAGUUGGACCAAACCUAGUGAUGAAAAGACAGGAGUCAGUGAGCUCUGGGCCACAUCAUCUUGUGUCUGUCUGAGUGACCGAGCAUAUUCACUGUUACAGCUGAGGAGGGGUAGCCCCUGGAGGUGUGGCUGCCGCAUGUCUCCCAGGGCCAGGAACCCCCACUUUGUGGUAGAUGUCUAACACUGGCUCAGCUUUGCUCAGAGAGUGGGUAAAAUUUAUUUGUGCUUCCUCUUUGCUUUAUCUGUUUUUGAAACAGUCUCAUGCUAUAGCCCAAACUACCCUCAAACUCAUAGCUCUCCUGCAGGGGGGGGGGCACUCGGGUCCUUCUUUUGCAUUUCUUUACAACUGACCGCUCUGCAUGGGCCUGCUUGCUUCUCAAUUGCUGUCUUCUUUGGGAACAUUUGUGCCCAAGAAGAGUGCUAACCUUGCCCCAGCACCCAAAGCCUCCCCUGACACAGGACUUUUUCUCUGUGUACACUGCAGCGACAUUCAGAUUUGGAAUGGCCCAGGAGCCAGCUUUCUGGGAACCACCCUGUGCGUCACACAGCCGCCUUUCUCUAAGAAUGUUCUAUUAGCCUCGGUCCCUGUCUUGGUUGCUCCUAAAUGCUCUGAGCCAAGCCAGGCAGUAUCUCAGUGCCUAGAGACUGUUGUCAGUCCUGAAACCAGCCCAGGGAAUGUCGAGAUGAGGGUGGGGGAAGACAGGAGGAGGGAGAAGAGAUUCCUGAGUGGGAGCCAUUCUUAUGUGCUUCAUGCGUAUGUGGUCUAUAAAAAAUUCAACUUGCCCGGUCAAGUGUGUGAAUGGAUUUGAAAAGGGCAUGAACCGGGCACAGUGACACUCGUAUGAUCUGAGCUUCUUGGGAGGGGUAUAGCAGGAAGAUUGCAAGUUUGAAUUCUAGGUUACACGGGGAGUUUGAGGCUAGCCCAGAAAACACACUGAGACACUGUCUCAAAAUAAAAAGAACUUUUAAGUAAAAAUAACCUUUAAAAGGCAGUGGAGGUAGGGGACUGGGAAGGUAGCUCAGGAGUAGAGCACUUCCCUGGGGUGGUGAUUUGUUUGAGAGUGGCCCACAUAGGUUCAUAUGUGUGAAUGCUUGGACUCCAGAUGGUGGAACUGUCUGGGAAGGAUUCAGAGGUGUGGUCUUGUUGCAAGAGGAGUGUCAGUGGGGGUGGGAAUUGAGGUCUCAAGGCUGCUAGCAUUCCCAGUGUGCUCUCUGCCUCCUGCUUGUGGGUCAGUGUGAACCUUCAUCUAUCCCUGUGGGUCAGUGUGAACCUGCAUCUGUCUGUGUGUAUCGAUGUGAACCUGCAGCUUUACCUGUGUAUCGGUGUGAACCUGCAGCUGUCUGUGUGGGUCAGUGUGAACCUGCAGCUGUCUGUGUGGGUCAGUGUAAACUUGCUUCCCUUUAUAAGCUGCUUUGAUUUUCAUGUUUUAUCACAGCAACAGACACUCUAAGACACCUGGUAAGGUACUGUCUCCAUCUCCAAUACUGCCUAAGAAAGGAGUGGGGUGUAGGGAGGGGAGAAAGAAGGGACAGAAACCAAUAGCUGAUGACCCAUCUGGAAGACAGAGGACUGCUGGCACUUCAGGGAUGGUUGUGGCAGACAACAGCUGCUCUGUCCCCCUUGGGUCCUGUCAUACUCCUCUUGGCACAAGGAGGUCUACUCAAGGUCAACUCUCAGGGUCCAUUUGGGUCCCAGUUGGGAGGACAGGAGUGUCACUGGAGAGUGAAGGUGUGUUGAGAUGAGCCAGUGAGGUGUGCUUGCUGUCUGGAGCUGUGGAAGCCCCUGGAGGUGGUUCUGGUGAACCCAGACUAGCUAAGGAAUCUCAAAGCCCUGAUGCCCAGAACUCCUGAGGUUCUGGCUUCUGGUCCCACUUCCUCCAAGAGGGAGGCCACACUAGUUCCUCCCUCAUUUGGUCAGAGGAGUUCAGUGUGGUGGUCCUUGGACACCUGCAGGUUCUAGGACCUGCAGCCCUCGGCUGUGUAUCUUACACUCAGGCUGUGGUUUUCCAUGAGACCCUCUUCCUGUGCCGCCGCCUGGGAAGGAGGGCUCUGCCCGCCCUGCGGGAGGUGAGGAAGUCUGACGGUGGAGCAGAGGGGGGUGGGGUGGGGGGAAUUUGGGCUGAACACCUGAAAAGAAGUUCAUGAAAUUUAAUCAGUGCCUAAGGGGAACACCUAAAUUUAGUCAAAUUAUUAUUAGUAUUCAUUCCAUUUUUAAAUUGCCUAGGGGAACGUCACAAAAAGUUGGGGAACUACCAGCCCGGGUGGUGAUUAGUCGUUUCUGCAAAGCAGUGGAACCCCAAGAGGCUGUAGAGAUCCCCAAGAGCCUCGGGGCCAAAGUCACCGACAGAGGGAACUCACCCUCUCAGCCUGUCUAUGGCCCAGGUCUGGGGAGACACAGGAGCCCUGUGCAGGGCCAGUCAGCAGAAUGCAGUGACCCGUAAGCCAUUCAUAACCCUGGCCAUGCUGGCCUUUCCCUGGUGGCUAUGUGGUAUGGCUGUUCUCUGGGGUUUACUGCUGCUAGGUAUACCAGCCUGGGUAGGCCCCUUGCUGGGUGUGGAGAGAGGACUAGGGUCCUCUCCUUCUCUGAGCAAGACUGUGAUUUGGGAGUAACCGAUUAUCCGGGGCCGUCUCUUCUCCAUGUUUUAGCAGAAUACUUCAGCGAGCCCUGGGCCUCAGGGUAAUUACUGAGUUUGAGGCCCUGCAAGAAUCAAGGGACAUUAAUGCCGUGGCCCCUGUGGAGCGUCAGCCUCCUUUCUCUCCUGCCCCCUCCUCCUACCCUGUGCCCCUGGCGAGUGUCAUGUGCCAGCCAGGCCUUGACAGCUGUGUGGCUUCAUUCUGAAAGGUAUCAUGAUAGAGACCCGGGGAUGCCACCAACUCAUAACACGAAGUCUCCAGCAUCCUCCUGUGUUCUUGGCUUUCGAUGGCUGGUCAGCACUGGGUGUCACCAGGGCAGCUUCAUCCUGCCCUUUCCUCCCAUUCCUCUUUUUAUUCUGUGUUACAUAAAAUGUGCUCAGUCUCACUGUGCACACCUGGGCUGCGCACACGGAGCCCACGAGAGCAUGUUGGUUCAGAGACCAAUGUUUGCCCAUGUUAACUGCUGUAAAAUUGGACGUUUUUAUUUUGUGUGGGGGAGGGAGUGUACAUGCCACAGGCACAUGGCAUCCAGAGGUCAGAGACUGACAUAGGCAGUCUGUUCCUGCCAUCUACCAUGUGGGCUCUGGUGAGAGAGCUCAGGUCACCCGGCUUGGUGGUGAGUGCCUUUACCGGCCGACUCACCAGCCUGGUUUUCACCGGUUUUGAGCUCCGGAUGCCGCUGCCACGUUGUCUGUAAGUCAGCGUAUUGCAAAGACGAGAUGGAAGGAAACUCAGCCACCCAGCACAGGAGCGGGUGGGGACAGUCUCCAGACCGAGUGGGCUAUUAAUUAUUUUGCUUUAUUUAUUAGACGCACUGGCGUCUCUUAGCCUCGAAGCAUAUUUGCAAAUGCCUUAAGGGAAAACGGAAAGCAAAUGACUCCUGCUGAGCUGGUCUCCAGCUGGUAAUGAAUGAUACCAGUUAAUAGCAAUGACAGCGUCUCCUGUGGGUGACGGGGCCUUCGGUGACACGUAUGACAUACAAACCAGAGGUACACUGGAUACGUUGAGCAAAAUGUUUCUUAAUUUUCCUGGGAAAGGGGUGAGGUCACUCAGUCGGAUAUGAAAAGAUUUAAAUAAAAAUGAUACCCGAGAGACUGGCGGGUUUUUUUCCCUUCCAUUGCAGAUGAAGGCUCAACCCUCCCCUCCAUCCACUCACCCACCCUACAGCGGGGCUGGCAAGGAGAAGGCAGGCCGGCCUGGUUAUCUUUUCCUAAACGGUGUGGGUAAUAAACCUGAGUGAUGUG